ACGAGGGGUGCAAGCGUUGUUCGGAAUCACUGGGCGUAAAGGGUCCGUAGGCGGAUACACAAGUCAGAUGUUUAAUUUCGAGGCCUAACUUCGAGCUUGCAUUUGAAACUGUGUAUCUUGAAUAGAUCAGAGGUUGAUGGAAUACUUGGUGUAGCGGUGGAAUGCGUAGAUAUCAAGUAGAACACCAAUGGCGAAGGCAGUCAACUGGGAUCAUAUUGACGCUGAGGGACGAAAGCGUGGGUAGCAAACAGG
rnacentral:rRNA from 1 species